CCUACGGGAGGCAGCAGUGAGGAAUAUUGGUCAAUGGGCGCGAGCCUGAACCAGCCAAGUAGCGUGAAGGAUGACUGCCCUACGGGUUGUAAACUUCUUUUAUAAAGGAGUAGGGUGAGGCACGAAUACCUGUUGGUAUGUACGUUAUGAAUAAGAAUAGGCUAACUCCGUGCCAUCAGCCGCGGUAAUACGGUGGAGACGAGCGUUAUCCGGAUUUAUUGGGUUUAAAGGGUACGUAGAUGGGUUGGUAAGUCAGUUGUGAAAUUCUGCGGCUCAACCGUAAAACUGCAAUUGAUACUGGCAGGCUUGAGUACCGUUGAGGUAGGUGGAAUGCGUGGUGUAGCGGUGAAAUGCGUAGAGAUCAAGAAGAAUUCCGGUUGCGAAGGCAGCUCCCUAAACUGAGACUGACACUGAGGUGCGAAAGUGUGGGGAUCAAACAGGAUUAGAUACCCCAGUAGUC
rnacentral:rRNA from 1 species